rnacentral:rRNA from 1 species
UGGGGAAUUUUGGACAAUGGGGGCAACCCUGAUCCAGCAAUGCCGCGUGUGUGAAGAAGGCCUUCGGGUUGUAAAGCACUUUUGUCCGGAAAGAAAUCGCCCUGGCUAAUAUCCGGGGUGGAUGACGGUACUGGAAGAAUAAGCACCGGCUAACUACGUGCCAGCAGCCGCGGUAAUACGUAGGGUGCGAGCGUUAAUCGGAAUUACUGGGCGUAAAGCGUGCGCAGGCGGUUGUGCAAGACAGAUGUGAAAUCCCCGGGGCUUAACCUGGGAAUGGCAUUUUGUGACUGCACGGCUAGAGUGUGUCAGAGGGGGGUAGAAUUCCACGUGUAGCAGUGAAAUGCGUAGAUAUGUGGAGGAACACCGAUGGCGAAGGCAGCCCCCUGGGAUAACACUGACGCUCAUGCACGAAAGCGUGGGGAGCAAACAGGAUUAGAUACCCUGGUAGUCCACGCCCUAAACGAUGUCAACUAGUUGUCGGGUCUUAAUUGACUUGGUAACGCAGCUAACGCGUGAAG